GGCCGCGUAGCGUAAUGGUUAACGCGUCACUUUCCGGUUAUGCUGGUGUAGGUGAGAUUGCAGUUUCGAAUACUGCCGUGGUCG